ACAGUGGUUCCCACGGUUGUCUUAGAAACCAGACCCCGAGGCUUGGCAGAGCAGGAGCCCUCGGUGGCAGUGCUUGGGUGUCGAGGCUCUGAGGCUCCGGCCUCACCUCUCCACGGGGUCGAAGGGAACGUCUCCGGAUGCCAGGAGUCGCAAAGGGCCGACCAUGAUGAUGAAACCCCAGGCAGAGACGGGGGAAGCAGCACGGGAUCCCAGCCUCAGGCCUGCACGGACGGUGUUGGUUGGGAGACGAGGUCUCACUAUAUUGACCAGGCUGGUCUUGAACUCCUGGCCUUAAGCGAUCCUCCUGCCUUGGCCUCCCAAAGUGCUGGAGUUACAGAUGUGAGCCUCUGUGCUCAGUCCAUCCUUGGCUGUUCAAGUGUAGAGGUGAUGUAAAAUUCUCAAACAAUGAGAUAGAUAAAAAGUACGCAGCCAAAAAGUUCAAGAAGAAGUGUUAUGGAGAUGGAGCAGGCCCUUCGUAAAAACACGAUGUUGGUUUUCUGGAUUUUGUAUGUUUGCUUUUUUUUUUCCUCAUCCUAAAGAAAUAUUCACUGUCAUACCU
rnacentral:lncRNA from 1 species